GCCAUGCGAGUCACGCCGCAGGCGUGGCAUACGGCUCAGUAACACGUAGUCAACAUGCCCAAAGGACGUGGAUAACCUCGGGAAACUGAGGAUAAACCGCGAUAGGCCAAGGUUUCUGGAAUGAGCCAUGGCCGAAAUCUAUAUGGCCUUUGGAUUGGACUGCGGCCGAUCAGGCUGUUGGUGAGGUAAUGGCCCACCAAACCUGUAACCGGUACGGGCUUUGAGAGAAGGAGCCCGGAGAUGGGCACUGAGACAAGGGCCCAGGCCCUAUGGGGCGCAGCAGGCGCGAAACCUCUGCAAUAGGCGAAAGCCUGACAGGGUUACUCUGAGUGAUGCCCGCUAAGGGUAUCUUUUGGCACCUCUAAAAAUGGUGCAGAAUAAGGGGUGGGCAAGUCUGGUGUCAGCCGCCGCGGUAAUACCAGCACCCCGAGUUGUCGGGACGAUUAUUGGGCCUAAAGCAUCCGUAGCCUGUUCUGCAAGUCCUCCGUUAAAUCCACCUGCUCAACGGAUGGGCUGCGGAGGAAACCGCAGAGCUAGGAGGCGGGAGAGGCAAACGGUACUCAGUGGGUAGGGGUAAAAUCCAUUGAUCUACUGAAGACCACCAGUGGCGAAGGCGGUUUGCCAGAACGCGCUCGACGGUGAGGGAUGAAAGCUGGGGGAGCAAACCGGAUUAGAUACCCGGGUAGUCCCAGCUGUAAACGAUGCAGACUCGGUGAUGGGUUGGCUUCGGGCCAACCCAGUGCCGCAGGGAAGCCGUUAAGUCUGCCGCCUGGGGAGUACGGUCGCAAGACUGAAACUUAA
rnacentral:rRNA from 1 species